AGAGUUUGAUCAUGGCUCAGAAUCAACGCUGGCGGCGUGCCUAACACAUGCAAGUCGAACGAGAAAGGGUAGCAAUACCUGAGUAAAGUGGCGCACGGGUGAGUAACACGUGACUGACCUACUGGAGUGGGGGAUAACUGAGGGAAACCUUAGCUAAUACCGCAUAAUACCCACGGGUCAAAGGAGCAAUUCGCUCCAGG
rnacentral:rRNA from 1 species